rnacentral:rRNA from 1 species
GACGAACGCUGGCGGCGUGCUUAACACAUGCAAGUCGAACGGAAAGGCCCUGCUUUUGUGGGGUGCUCGAGUGGCGAACGGGUGAGUAACACGUGAGUAACCUGCCCUUGACUUUGGGAUAACUUCAGGAAACUGGGGCUAAUACCGGAUAGAAGCUCCUGCUGCAUGGUGGGGGUUGGAAAGUUUCGGCGGUUGGGGAUGGACUCGCGGCUUAUCAGCUUGUUGGUGGGGUAGUGGCUUACCAAGGCUUUGACGGGUAGCCGGCCUGAGAGGGUGACCGGCCACAUUGGGACUGAGAUACGGCCCAGACUCCUACGGGAGGCAGCAGUGGGGAAUAUUGCACAAUGGGCGGAAGCCUGAUGCAGCAACGCCGCGUGCGGGAUGACGGCCUUCGGGUUGUAAACCGCUUUCGCCUGUGACGAAGCGUGAGUGACGGUAAUGGGUAAAGAAGCACCGGCUAACUACGUGCCAGCAGCCGCGGUGAUACGUAGGGUGCGAGCGUUGUCCGGAUUUAUUGGGCGUAAAGGGCUCGUAGGUGGUUGAUCGCGUCGGAAGUGUAAUCUUGGGGCUUAACCCUGAGCGUGCUUUCGAUACGGGUUGACUUGAGGAAGGUAGGGGAGAAUGGAAUUCCUGGUGGAGCGGUGGAAUGCGCAGAUAUCAAGAGGAACACCAGUGGCGAAGGCGGUUCUCUGGGCCUUUCCUGACGCUGAGGAGCGAAAGCGUGGGGAGCGAACAGGCUUAGAUACCCUGGUAGUCCACGCUGUAAACGGUGGGUACUAGGUGUGGGGUCCAUUCCACGGGUUCCGUGCCGUAGCUAACGCUUUAAGUACCCCGCCUGGGGAGUACGGCCGCAAGGCUAAAACUCAAAGGAAUUGACGGGGCCCCGCACAAGCGGCGGAGCAUGCGGAUUAAUUCGAUGCAACGCGUAGAACCUUACCUGGGUUUGACAUGGAUCGGGAGCGCUCAGAGAUGGGUGUGCCUCUUUUGGGGUCGGUUCACAGGUGGUGCAUGGCUGUCGUCAGCUCGUGUCGUGAGAUGUUGGGUUAAGUCCCGCAACGAGCGCAACCCUUGUUCACUGUUGCCAGCACGUUAUGGUGGGGACUCAGUGGAGACCGCCGGGGUCAACUCGGAGGAAGGUGGGGAUGACGUCAAGUCAUCAUGCCCCUCAUGUCCAGGGCUUCACGCAUGCUACAAUGGCUGGUACAGAGAGUGGCGAGCCUGUGAGGGUGAGCGAAUCUCGGAAAGCCGGUCUCAGUUCGGAUUGGGGUCUGCAACUCGACCUCAUGAAGUCGGAGUCGCUAGUAAUCGCAGAUCAGCAACGCUGCGGUGAAUACGUUCCCGGGGCU